AGCAUAAUACAAGCCGGGAAACUGGACGAACCAAAACACCAGGAGAACUGAACCGUCCUCCACACAGUGUUCACCAUUAGAGAGCAUGAUGACGUUUGCAGACAAAUCUCAACUGAGGAGGUAGAGCGACAGUCCAAACCGGCAGAGGGAUCAAAACUGAACCAGGUCAAAAUUGGUGGAAGUUUCCGAAGCACUUGCCCAAGGUUCCACCCACUUGUACCACUUGUCCUUUGUUUACACACCAUGAAGAAAAACCAAUGCUUCUUUUCGCCAUGAGGGACGAUCAAACAAGGACUCCACUAUCAUAUCAGCGACGUCCCUUUUGACAAUGCUGUGCUGCGAGUCGAAGUAAACCAUGGAGAGAGGCCGACGCUCAGUGGGAACACAACAUGAAGAUGUAGCCGUGUUAAUGCCGUUGACUUUCAGCUGGCUGAAGACAGUGGCAUGGAACGAGGAUGCCAUACCAGCACACGGUGACAUCGUCCCCACAGCGCAGUGAGCGCUUCCUGAGUAAGUGCUUGGAGCGGUCUUCACGGAGAUGCACCUGGGCCACCAUGAAGGGCUGGUGGAGGCUGUCAGCAGAGCUGUCAAGGGAGCAGAGGUUCUUCCCAUCCUCAUCACAGCUGACCUCCAGACGUAGACGAUGCUGGCCUCCAUCCAGGAAGGUUUGCAGGGUGCGGGUGAUAGGGAAGGUGUGCCAGUUACUCUCCUGGACCUCCAGCAUUUUUUCUAUCACCAGGGUGCGGUUAGAGCCAUAUGCCCCCCCCUCUGCGGUGAGGAAAACCCUGGCAGGGAGGCGGGAAUCUCGGUUAGGGUCCCCGGAGGAGCGGGCGUAGAUCCACAGAGAAGACUGGAGGACCUGGAUACUCUGGCCACGUUCCUGCAGGAACUGGAAGGUGCAGCUUGUCCAAAAGUUGUUGCUUUGCGAUUUCUAUCAGCAGCAUUUCCUCUGCGUCUUUCUCCAUCGCAGACAAGCCGCAAGACGCGCAACCUGGAGAGCCUCUGACGCAGAGACCCUU